CUCUAGAUUACGCCACCCCCUUUAAGACCAAACUUCGGGAAUAAAAGGGAAUCAUGGCAUGUCACACGUCAUGUGUCCUUAAGGGGUUAACAAAUAAAGUCAGGCAGAGGGAGAUUCCACUUGGAAGCUCGCUGUGCUGUGAGAUCGUUAGUCAUUAUAAUCGAAGUCCUUUUCAUACACUGUAUUCACUGCUUCUCUACAAGCAGCCCUAGUCAGCUUUGGUAUUGUUGUGUGUGUGGAAG